rnacentral:rRNA from 1 species
CCCAGACUCCUACGGGAGGCAGCAGUGGGGGAUAUUGGACAAUGGGGGAAACCCUGAUCCGGCGACGCCGCGUGAGUGAAGAAGUAUUUCGGUAUGUAAAGCUCUGUCAGCAGGGAAGAAAGAAAUGACGGUACCUGACCAAGAAGCCCCGGCUAACUACGUGCCAGCAGCCGCGGUAAUACGUAGGGGGCAAGCGUUAUCCGGAAUUACUGGGUGUAAAGGGAGCGUAGACGGUGAUGCAAGUCUGGAGUGAAAGGCGGGGGCCCAACCCCCGGACUGCUCUGGAAACUGUAUGACUUGAGUGCAGGAGAGGUAAGCGGAAUUCCUAGUGUAGCGGUGAAAUGCGUAGAUAUUAGGAGGAACACCAGCGGCGAAGGCGGCUUACUGGACUGUAACUGACGUUGAGGCUCGAAAGCGUGGGGAGCAAACAGGAUUAGAUACCCGUGUA